GAUGAACGCUGGCGGCGUGCCUAAUACAUGCAAGUCGAGCGAAUGGAUUAAGAGCUUGCUCUUAUGAAGUUAGCGGCGGACGGGUGGGUAACACGUGGGUAACCUGCCCAUAAGACUGGGAUAACUCCGGGAAACCGGGGCUAAUACCGGAUAACAUUUUGAACCGCAUGGUUCGAAAUUGAAAGGCGGCUUCGGCUGUCACUUAUGGAUGGACCCGCGUCGCAUUAGCUAGUUGGUGAGGUAACGGCUCACCAAGGCAACGAUGCGUAGCCGACCUGAGAGGGUGAUCGGCCACACGGGGACUGAGACACGGCCCAGACUCCUACGGGAGGCAGCAGUAGGGAAUCUUCCGCAAUGGACGAAAGUCUGACGGAGCAACGCCGCGUGAGUGACGAAGGCUUUCGGGUCGUAAAACUCUGUUGUUAGGGAAGAACAAGUGCUAGUUGAAUAAGCUGGCACCUUGACGGUACCUAACCAGAAAGCCACGGCUAACUACGUGCCAGCCGCCGCAGUAA
rnacentral:rRNA from 1 species